rnacentral:misc_RNA from 1 species
ACAUUCCUGAUCUAUGGUAUGUCUAUUAUGCCUAUGUAUAUACUACACGAUGUGGUAAAAGAUAACGAUUUCGUUGUAUUAAUGAGAGCUUGCUAUUUCCAGUUUGACUGCGUCGAAAGAAUAAGUAAGAUUAAGUGUAUUAAUUAUUAAAUACACAUUUAAGUGUUGAUACGCGUUAAGUGCACAAGUAUUAAUACGCGAUUAAGAACACGUUUAAGUGUUACGCAAUUGAAUAUAAGAACACGAUUAAAAUUCACUUUCAACAGAACUUUGUUGAGUGAAAUUGUUGGCUAUGUUGAUAACAUCGAAUCUCCACGUUGCGUGGGCUCGCAACAACAAUAUAAGUUCUUCAAAUUUUAUUUAAAUAACGGAAAAGGAAAAAGGGUUCAAAUUGUUGCCUGGAAUGAUGACAUUGAUUUUGUGGAACAUCAUAUAAAAGUA